AAGGUAGGAAAUGACAUAAGAGAAGUUGCCAGUAGUUGUACUUAAUUUGAGGCAAAAUCCAUUUCAAAACGUUGUUUUGUUGGUAGUUGUUUCCCUGAGUGUUAGGACAAAUGCUCAUUAGGAAGUAUCCAUCAUUAACAUAGGCUUCCUAUUUUCUAAAUGUAAAUGACCACGUUUCUGUUGAGUUGACUGAAUACAAAUUUCAGAAAAAUGUCUCUGACAUGAAUGUAGAAGCAUCUGGCCACCCUCAGGGUACCUUCCCACCAUUUACCACAGCCAAUCUGGUCUUUGUCAGGGCAUCUUUCUUUUCAGAGAGUAACUAUGACAACGGAAUGUGAUGCCGUGGGUAUGCAGCAGCCCUCUAUUUGCACACAACAUGUGAUGCUAUCCGAACACAGAAUUAUGAAUCAGGAUAGCAUUGGCCUCUCCCUUUGUAGUGAGCAAGUAAUCUGCUAUUUGAUUCAAUGAAUGUUUUGUUAUUGGUUUUGUUUUACUGUGACUCUCUCAUAACAAGCCAUGGAAGAUUUCCAACCUAAGGACUCAUGUGUUAGAUUGGGCGUACUUGGAUAAUCAAGGAUAAUCUCCCCAUCUCAAGGUUCCUGACCUAGAAUCAGACAGCACCAAGAAAAAGUCUGGAGAAAAUGACACACCUGGUACAUGUCCCCUUCCAGAAUCACUGGGCCAGUGCCUCACUUGACUCCCCUUGGGCGAAUUCUCCAGUGGUGACAAGAGAGGCACAAGUUCUUGAAAUGAUAUAUAUUCCAAUCAGGUGCUUCAGAGAAGCACUGGCCUUUUUCUUGACAGGCAAUGUGCAUUUUGGCACCAGAUUACUGGGUGGAAAAAUACAGGCAUUUUCCAAGCUCUAAACACAGAGUGUGCCAUCUAUUAGUUUGGAUUUCUUCCUUAACUAUCAUCAUACUAAUAUGUGGUGGUUUUUCCAAGAAGAAAUCAAUCCAAAUCUAUCUUUGGCCUCCAAAUCCAGGAAGCCUGGGUUUUAUCACUGGCUGGUCACAGAUGCACUGAAAAUGGGUAAGUCACUUCCAUCGUUGUCUGAAUGUCUCCAUCUGGCAAAUGUAGAUUCUGACACUCACCAUCAGAUAAUGUUUGCAAAAUGUUUGAUGGUCUUUGCUGGUCGACAGUAUGUAAUUGCAAACAGUUGGAUCCUUUCUUCUGUCCUAAAAAUUCUUCUCUUUUCUAGAAACUAUUUUUAAAUUAAAAAUAUCACUUUUAAAAUAUGGCACAUGGCAAUAAAAAUUCAGUUGGUACUAGAGAGUAAUUUUUUUUUUUUUAAGUAAAGGUCUUUUUCAAUGGCAUUCCCCAGAAGUAACAGCUUAAAAGUUUUCUAUUUUUAAUCCUUCUGAGGCAAAACUCCACAACAAUAAUUUAUUAUCCCUUUAUUUUUGAUGUAACAACUUCAAAGUAUAGCUGAUGGGCCCCCUUUUGAAAGAUGAGGAUCUUGGCUCUCAUUUACACUUUCCUUCAACAACCACUGCCAGAUAUAUUUCAUUUUUUAUUAUUCCUUUAGAUACAGACAAUAUAUCCAACCCUCCAUUGCAUGACCCAUCAAUUUUAGGCAGGAUCUCAUGACCUCCCUCUAAGAUAAUGAGAUAUUUUAUACCUUCCCUUUCUCUCCUUCUCUCAUGAUCAUCCCCAGGGUCACAACUUCAGUUUAUCAUAUAGUUCAUUUACAUUGUCAAAAUUUAUAGCAUUUAUUCUUUCUGAUAUAAUUAAUGUUUCUGUGUUUUGGCUGUUUUAGUCUAAAAAUAGCCAGAACUUAUAAUAUUUUACUUAAAUGCAUAUUAUUGAUUAUAUAAUUUUAUUUUAUUCAAAUAAAAAAAUAUUUAUUGAUUGCAUAUGCUGUACCAGCACUGUGCUAAGUGCUAGGUAUAUAUCAGUGAACAAAAGAGAGAAAAAAAUCCCUGCCUUCAUAGAGCUCAUAUUUUAAUGUGUAUGUGAACUGCGAGUAAAAGUGAUGAAACUAUUUCAUUUAACCUGUGCCGAUAGAAAAAGAAAUGCACAUAUGUAAAAUGGGAGGAGGAAGGAGAAAGUAGAGGAAGCAGGGCACUGAAUUUUUAUACCGUAUUAUUACCAUAUGGUUUCACUUUCUCACUAGAAUAAUAAUCUAGAUUCUGCAGCACUUUAAAGAAAAUUUAUUUCUUCUUGAAGCGAUUUUUUCUUCAUUUGCUAAUCUAACUUGGGUUGCUAACUUUUGAAUCCUACUUUUCAAUAUUAUUUUCCUGGGGGGUUUUCAUUUUUAGUUUUUUAUUGCAUGAAUUUUUGUGCUGGUUUGUUUUUGUUUUUGUUUUUUUUUCUUCCAAUCUUGCUUUGUAUUAAGCAACUGGGCUUGGUCAAUUGUUAUUUGAAUUUCUUGUCUUACUCUUGUCUAUAUCCUGCUGGAAUAAAUUCUCAAAUUAUUAUUUCAAGAAGCAUCAUAUAUUCAGAUAAAGAUUCUAUUUUUACCAUCUUAUUCUCUCAUUUCAAUGAUAGCUUUUGGUGGGCUUAGAAUUAUUCAAAAUCAAUUUCUAUCAGUGUUCUAAAGGUGUUUCUCUCAUAUCCCAAGGAAAAAAGUUUGAUGCAAACCUGAUUUUUACUCCAGCAAGUCUAACUUGUCCUGCUUACUCACCACCACAUAAUCAUGAAGUAUUUUUGGCCUAAGACAUUUUACACGGAUAUAUUUAAGUGUGAGCAUUUUUUACACUAAUUGUGCUGGGUACCUUAUAGGUCCUUCCAUGUGUCCUUUUAUUUGUCUACAGGUAUGGAAAAUUUUCUUCCAUUUGGGGGAUAAAUUCUUAACCUUAAAAAAAUCAUACUGAGUAGAUUUAUAUUCUUUUAUAUUACUUCUCCAUUUUUUCAUUCUUCUCAUAAUUCACUUCUCUGCUUUUUUUGCUCUAUGUUCUGGGAUACUAAUUUAACCAGAUGGAUUCACUAGUGAAUUUUACCAAACAUUUAAGGAAGAAAUUAUACUAAUUUUCUAUAAUCUCUUUCAGAAAAUGGAAGCAGAGGGAAUACUUACUACCUCACUCCAUUAGGCCAGUGUAACCCUAAUUCCACAAUCAAAGACAUUAUAAGAAAAGAAAAGUAUAAUAUUUCUCAUGAACAUAGAUGGAAAAAUCCUCAACAAAAUAUUAGAGAAUUCAACAAUGGAUAAAAGAGAAUUAUAUACCAUGAACAAGAAGGAUUUAUCCCAAGUAUGUAAGGCUGGUUCACCAUUUAAAAAUGAAUUAAUGUAAUCCAUCAUAUCAAGAGGCUAAAGAAUGAAAAUCACAUGAUCAUAUUAAUACAUGCAGAAAAAGCAUUUGACAAAAUCCAGUACUCAUUUGUGAUAAAAGUGCUUAGUAAACUAGAAAUAGAAGGGAACUUCCUCAGCUUGAUAAAGCACAUCUACAAAAAACCCCUGUAAUGGUGGAAAGGGAGGUGGGCCGGGGAGGAUUGGGGUGACUGGGUGACAGGCUCUGAGGGGAGCACUUGACGGGAUGAGCACUGGGUGUUAUGCUAUAUAUUGGCAAAUCGAACUCCAAUAAAAAAGUAUACCAAAAAAAAACCCUAUAGUUAACAUCAUAUUUAAUGGUGAUAAACUUGAAACUUUCCCACAAAGAUCAGAGUAAGGUAAGGAAGAUAGAUGAGUGAUGGGCAUUAAGGAGGGCACUUAAUUGUUCAGAUGAGCACUGGAUAUCAUACGUAGGUGAUGAACCACUGAAUUCUAACUCCUGAAACCAAUAUCGAACUGUAUGUCAACUAACUAGA